AGGAUGAACGCUGGCGGCGUGCCUAAUACAUGCAAGUCGAGCGGUAAGGCCCCUUCGGGGGUACACGAGCGGCGGACGGCUGAGUAACACGUAGGAACGUACCCCAAACUGAGGGAUAAGCACCAGAAAUGGUGUCUAAUACCGCAUGUGGUCUUCGGAUUAAAGCUUCGGCGGUUUGGGAACGGCCUGCGCAUGAUUAGCUUGUUGGUGAGGUAAAAGCUUACCAAGGCGACGAUCAUUAGCUGGUCUGAGAGGAUGAUCAGCCAGACUGGGACUGAGAACGGCCCAGACUCCUACGGGAGGCAGCAGUAGGGAAUUUUCCACAAUGGGCGAAAGCCUGAUGGAGCAACGCCGCGUGCAGGACGAAGGCCUUCGGGUUGUAAACCCCGUUUCGGCAGGGACGAAGCGAAAGUGACGGUACCUGCAAAAGAAGCGCCGGCUAACUACGUGCCAGCAGCCGC
rnacentral:rRNA from 1 species